rnacentral:rRNA from 1 species
GACGAACGCUGGCGGCGUGCUUAACGCAUGCAAGUCGAACGGAAAGGCCCUGCUUUUGUCUGGUGCUCGCGUGGCGAACGGGUGAGUAACACGUGAGUAACCUGCCCUUUACUUUGUGACAACUUCAGGCAACUGCUGAUAAUACCGGAUAGGAGCUCCUGCUGCAUGGUGGGGUUUGGACAGUUUCGGCGGUUGGGGAUGUACUGGCGGUUUAUCAGCUUGUUGGUGGGGUAGCUGCUUACCAAGGCGUUGAUUGCUAGCCGGCCUGGGAGGGGGGACGGGCACAUGGGGACUGAGAUACGGCGCAGACUCCUACGGGAGGCAGCAGUGGGGAAUAUUGCACAAUGGGCGGAAGCGUAUGGCAGCAGCGCCGCGUGUGGGAUGACGGCCUUCGGGGGGGAAACCGCAUUAGGCUGUGACGAAGCGGUAUUGACGGUACUGGGUAAAGAAGCACCGGCUAACUACGUG